rnacentral:rRNA from 1 species
CCACCGGCUUCAGGUGUUACCGACUUUCAUGACUUGACGGGCGGUGUGUACAAGACCCGGGAACGUAUUCACCGCAGCGUUGCUGAUCUGCGAUUACUAGCGACUCCGACUUCAUGAGGUCGAGUUGCAGACCUCAAUCCGAACUGGGACCGGCUUUUUGGGAUUCGCUCCACCUCACGGUAUUGCAGCCCUUUGUACCGGCCAUUGUAGCAUGCGUGAAGCCCAAGACAUAAGGGGCAUGAUGAUUUGACGUCAUCCCCACCUUCCUCCGAGUUGACCCCGGCAGUAUCCCAUGAGUUCCCACCAUUACGUGCUGGCAACAUAGAACGAGGGUUGCGCUCGUUGCGGGACUUAACCCAACAUCUCACGACACGAGCUGACGACAACCAUGCACCACCUGUUCACCAGUGUCCAAAGAGUCCCGUAUUUCUACGGUGUUCUGGUGUAUGUCAAGCCUUGGUAAGGUUCUUCGCGUUGCAUCGAAUUAAUCCGCAUGCUCCGCCGCUUGUGCGGGUCCCCGUCAAUUCCUUUGAGUUUUAGCCUUGCGGCCGUACUCCCCAGGCGGGGAACUUAAUGCGUUAGCUGCGUCACGGAAACCGUGGAAUGGUCCCCACAACUAGUUCCCAACGUUUACGGGGUGGACUACCAGGGUAUCUAAGCCUGUUUGCUCCCCACCCUUUCGCUCCUCAGCGUCAGUUACGGCCCAGAGAUCUGCCUUCGCCAUCGGUGUUCCUCCUGAUAUCUGCGCAUUCCACCGCUACACCAGGAAUUCCAAUCUCCCCUACCGCACUCUAGUCUGCCCGUACCCACUGCAGGCCCGAGGUUGAGCCUCGGGAUUUCACAGCAGACGCGACAAACCGCCUACGAGCUCUUUACGCCCAAUAAUUCCGGAUAACGCUUGCGCCCUACGUAUUACCGCGGCUGCUGGCACGUAGUUAGCCGGCGCUUUUUCUGCAGGUACCGUCACUCUCGCUUCUUCCCUGCUAAAAGAGGUUUACAACCCGAAGGCCGUCAUCCCUCACGCGGCGUUGCUGCAUCAGGCUUCCGCCCAUUGUGCAAUAUUCCCCACUGCUGCCUCCCGUAGGAGUCUGGGCCGUGUCUCAGUCCCAGUGUGGCCGGUCACCCUCUCAGGCCGGCUACCCGUCGACGCCUUGGUGAGCCAUUACCUCACCAACAAGCUGAUAGGCCGCGAGCCCAUCCCAGACCGAAAAAUCUUUCCAACCCCCACCAUGCGAUGAGAGCUCAUAUCCAGUAUUAGACGCCGUUUCCAGCGCUUAUCCCAGAGUCCAGGGCAGGUUGCUCACGUGUUACUCACCCGUUCGCCACUGAUCCACCAAGCAAGC